rnacentral:rRNA from 1 species
GAUCGGCUAACUCCGUGCCAGCAGCCGCGGUAAUACGGAGGAUCCAAGCGUUAUCCGGAUUUAUUGGGUUUAAAGGGUCCGCAGGCGGGAUAUUAAGUCAGUGGUGAAAGCCUACAGCUUAACUGUAGAACUGCCAUUGAUACUGGUAUUCUUGAGUGUAGUUGAGGUGGGCGGAAUAAGUCAUGUAGCGGUGAAAUGCAUAGAUAUGACUUAGAACACCGAUUGCGAAGGCAGCUCACUAAACUACUACUGACGCUGAGGGACGAAAGCGUGGGGAGCGAACAGGAUUAGAUACCCUGGUAGUCCACGCCGUAAACGAUGAUCACUCGCUGUUGGCGAUAUACAGUCAGCGGCCAAGCGAAAGCAUUAAGUGAUCCACCUGGGAAGUACGCUCGCAAGAGUGAAACUCAAAUGAAUUGACGGGG